UUCUUGACAUCCAGAGAACUUAGCAGAGAUGCUUUGGUGCCUUCGGGAACUCUGAGACAGGUGCUGCAUGGCUGUCGUCAGCUCGUGUUGUGAAAUGUUGGGUUAAGUCCCGCAACGAGCGCAACCCUUAUCCUUUGUUGCCAGCGGUUCGGCCGGGAACUCAAAGGAGACUGCCAGUGAUAAACUGGAGGAAGGUGGGGAUGACGUCAAGUCAUCAUGGCCCUUACGAGUAGGGCUACACACGUGCUACAAUGGCGCAUACAAAGAGAAGCGACCUCGCGAGAGCAAGCGGACCUCAUAAAGUGCGUCGUAGUCCGGAUUGGAGUCUGCAACUCGACUCCAUGAAGUCGGAAUCGCUAGUAAUCGUAGAUCAGAAUGCUACGGUGAAUACGUUCCCGGGCCUUGUACACACCGCCCGUCACACCAUGGGAGUGGGUUGCAAAAGAAGUAGGUAGCUUAACCUUCGGGAGGGCGCUUACCA
rnacentral:rRNA from 1 species